AUGGCUUACACGUUCCGGAUCCACUGCCGCGCCUCCGACGACCACAGCCUCGCGCUCAUCGACGGCCAAGUCGUCCUCGCCGCCGCCGACCCCGGCGACGACCGCCAGGCAAGCCUACCUUCCCGGUGGUACAAGGACGUGAUGUACGCCGGCGGCCUCAAGGACGAGGCCGGCAACCCGGCGUUCGCCCUCGUCAACAAGGCCACCGGCGAUGCCCUCAAGCACUCCCUCGGCUACCAUCUGCCAGUGAGAGCGAUACGGUUCAACCCGGGGUGCCUGGACGAGUCGGUGCUGUGGUCGGAGAGCAGGGACGUGGCCGGCGGCUUCAGCCGCGUCCACAUGGUGAACAACAUGGAGUACAUCUUCGACGCCGAGCGGGGCGGCUCCGAGUACGGCGGCCCGCGCGACGGCACGCGGCUCAUCCUCUUCCGCUGGAUCCGCGGCGACAACCAGCUCUGGAGGAUCUCCGACGAGCCGGCAGGGCGUGGGCCGCCCAUGCGGGUCUCGUCUGAGUGCAACCAGGAGCUGAGCCUCACCGUCCGCGACGGCGCCGCCGUCCUCGCGAGCACGGAUCUGGAGGAUGACAAACAAGCUUGGAUCCAGAGCUUUCGGAACACCGAGCGCGUGACGGACUCGGAGGGGCGCAGCUCGUUCGUGCUGGUCAAUGAGGCCACCGGGAAAGCGCUGCGGCGCUCCCACGGUGACCAGAAGCUUCAGGUGGUCGGCUACUGCCCGGACUCGGUGGACGUCGCGCUGCUGUGGACGCGGGGUGGCGAUCUUGGGGAAGGGUACCACUGCAUCCGCAGGGUCAGCGACCUCGGCUACGUCCUUGACGCGGCGGAGGGUGUACCCGAAACCGGCGGGGCGCACGACGGGACGCCCGUCAUCUUGUUCCCGGCCAACGGGGGCCCGAAUCAGAAGUGGAAGAUGACGCCGUUCCAUUGA
rnacentral:rRNA from 1 species